ACCAGCAAUAUAUAUCUCAGCUUCUGCUUCUCCUUAGAAAAAAACUCUCGUGUCCCUUCCUCUUCCUCCGCUUCCUCCCUCGUCCUCCCGAUGCCAGGCCCGAUGCGAUGGCGUCGGCACCGGCCACGAGCGGCAUGCCACGGCCAGUCUCCUCCUCCUCCUCCUCCUGCGCCUCCUCCUCUCUCCCCUCCCCUCCCGCGUCGGCAGCGGGCACCAAGCGGCGGCACAGCCUGCAGCGACGCGAGUGGGGCUCCUCCCUCGUCCUCCCAACGCCAGGGGCGACGGCGACGGCACCGGCCGCGAGCAGCACGCCGUGGCUGCCCUAUUCCUCCUCCUCCUGUGCCUCCUCCUCUCUCCCCUCCCUCCCACACCGGCGGCGGCACAACCUGCAGCGGCGCGACGACACGAGUGGCGCAUGUGUUUUGCUCCUCCAUGAAACCCUACCUACCUACUUUUGAUUUGGUUUUUGCUUUUUGUUUUACGAUGUUAAUAUUUCAGCUUUCUUCCUACUCUUCCUUAGGGUUCCUCUACGAACACCAGAUUUGUUGCCUUCAUUCGAUGCAUGCUUACUGUGAAGCUCCUGCAUAGUAUGGGUGAGUCAAACACAAUGAUACCUACAGAAUAGUAUAAUAUUUAGUAUUUUUCUUCGGAAUAGCUCCUCUCUCCCCUCCCCUCCCGCGUCGGCAGCGGGCACCAAGCGGCGGCACAGCCUGCAGCGACGCGAGUGGGGCUCCUCCCUCGUCCUCCCAACGCCAGGGGCGACGGCGACGGCACCGGCCGCGAGCAGCACGCCGUGGCUGCCCUAUUCCUCCUCCUGUGCCUCCUCCUCUCUCCCCUCCCUCCCACACCGGCGGCGGCACAACCUGCAGCGGCGCGACGACGCGAGUGGCCCUUGUGUUUUGCUCCUCCAUGAAACCCUACCUACCUACUUUUGAUUUGGUUUUUGCUUUUUGUUUUACGAUGUUAAUAUUUCAGCUUUCUUCCUACUCUUCCUUAGGGUUCCUCUACGAACACCAGAUUUGUUGCCUUCAUUCGAUGCAUGCUUACUGUGAAGCUCCUGCAUAGUAUUGGCACAGGUGGUACGAUUUAACACACUGAGGGCCAAUAGCAGUUUUGAUUGCUUGGGAGCUUGCAGCGUCUCCGUCCCUCUCUUCCCCGGACGCGGGCACCGGCGAUGGUACCCUUGUGGUGCAUGUCCCCACGGCUGCCCUUCUCAGUGCCUCCCUCUCCACUCGCCGUUUGCCAGUGCCUUCUUUUCUCUCCCUCUCUCCCUUGUGCCCUGGUGCACCGCUUGGGACCCUGCAUUGGCCAAGCAUGAUACACGCACCCGGGACACAGCCCUCCACGGUGCUGCAGUUUAGAAGGAGCAGUCCCAGGUGCUCCCAUUUUAUCUCGUUUUGUGAUUUUGAUUCUCUCUCUCUCUGAUUUUUCCCUAUGUUGGCUUCGAUUCCUAAACCUUUUCACUUCUUUGGCCUAUGAUGAAAAUUCUAGACCUAUUUGUUAAGAAUAUGAACUGAUGUUUGUUUGCUUGUGAGGUACUAGGCAUGAUCUGCUACAUAUACUGUGCAAUUUAUGAGAGUAACCCCAUUGUGACCAUGCCUCGAAGCUCCAAGUUGAUGAAUAAAUGAUGGUUGAUAUAUUUCUGAGGCCUUUAAAAAUCCUAUUUUCAUUAAGAAAAAAUCUUUCUCUUUUUCAUUGCGACAAACGAUGAGUAGUACGCUCUCCACUCCUUUCCACUCUACUAAUGUUUGCUUAGGUCAGAAAAUCUUUUUUUUAUUUAUGUACUAAACAUAAGAGCUUCUAAUGUUCUUUCGCUCGUGAGGUACUACACAUGAUCUGCUAAUUAUACUAAAUGAUGUGCUUUUCAUGCCCAGUUACAUCUUAAUUGAUGAUUAUUUUUUAAGGUUUGUUGUAUUCGGUUUAGGUGUGAUUUGCGACCUAUUGCAAGUAUUUAUAUUGCAAAAAAAACCUUUGUAUCUAUCAACUGAAUAUGGGUAUUAUUUUUAUUGGUUUCAUUUCAUCUAUUAUACUUUCUGUUCCGGGUCUAUUAUGGAAAUAUAUUGUUUGGUAUUCCAAGAGUUUUUUCCCUUGCAAACAAAAACUAUGAUGUCUGUUUUUGCAAUGGUAGUUGGAAUUUAGAGCUACAUAAUACUUAGCUAUAGUUCUGUCCUCCUUUUUCUUCUAAUUUUUAUUUUGCUUGCUGUUUGAAAGGGUUCGAAGUUCAAAGCAGCAUAAUGCUUCUUAGUAGAUUUUUUUUUUGUUUCAGUCAAUAAGAUACACACACAUGAAACAUGUUGCUGGAGAUUGGACCAAACAGUUUGGAUUGAUAGGUGUGCCCUCCUAUUUUUGCCUUGCUUCAGUUGGAGGUUCUGCCCUAGGUGCAUUGGUUGGUUCCAGGUUUGCAUGUUCUUGGAUCCUCAUUCCUGCAAAUUCUUAUGGUGUUUAUUUGAAUUCUACUAGCCUUGUCUCUAUCCUUUGCGGCAAUGGUGUAUUCGAAUCGGCGCCAUGAUGCUUUCUUACAGAGUCUAACUCAUGCCUAUGUUCUCCACCUCUUUGCACCAAGGAAAUGUGAUCAGGAGUUCAAAUCGAAAAAUAAAUCAGCUGCAGAGGUGCACAUGAUCUAACCGAAAAAAUAAUUUCCUUGAGGAUGCCAAUGAGUUGUGGGUUCACAUCGUUUUUUAUUUUGGUGCUGACAAUAAUUUUUACACUGUUCAGACCAUGUUAGUGCUCUAGAUUUAUUUGCUAAGUUUGUAUUUUAGGUUCAUCGUUUGGUUUUUCAGUUUGUCAGAUAAUGCAUUAUUAUUGGUUUCUGAUUUCAUAAAACUCAUUAUUGUAAUGAGGUGCUUUAGUCAUCAUUAUACACAAAACUCAUGGUUAACCAAUUAUCUCAUUGUCUGCCAACGAUAUCCAUGGAUUUGAUUGUUAAUAAUGUCAGAAAAGAAGACCAUUCUCCUUGCUUGAGUGUCAUGUAUAUCCCAAAAUCAUUGAACGUUUAAUGUUAUGCCAAAUAUUUUAGCAAGGUCUAAAUGACAAUCCAUCGGCAUAUGUUAUGAUAUAUUAUCGCUCUGUUAUGUUUUUUUUAUUCUCAUUUUCAAGUCACCCGUUCACCAGCAAAGCAAAGAAUGUUUGCACAGUUGCAUUUGGACUGAUGCGGAUGCUUAAUCAUAUACUUGAACUAUAGCUUUGUAAAUGAAAGAAAAAGCAACAUAGCAUGUGGAGUCCUUGGCAGUGGUGACUAGCACUGUGCUAUAGACUACAAUUCUAGCAGGUGGAACAUAGGCAAACCUUUUUAUAUGAAUUUCCCUUGCCAUGUUUGGAUUCUACAAGACUAAUAGCUAGAAUUCAACUGUAUCAUACUGCAUGUAUGGUUGUUUUUCUCAAAGCUAUGCCCUAUGUGUCAGCUGCCAACUACAUACAUGCCUACAGGUUGCAGGUCUUAAAACUCUACACUAAGCAAAGUUCACCAUCCAAGCUCGUUAACACUUCACAAUAAUGAUCCAUUGUCAAAGCUUGUUCUGCUCGUUUUUUCAGAAUGAUUAGAGUUAUGCUUACGCCUACCAGAUGUUAAAUAUGUGCCUGGCCAUAACUUCCAAUAUUGUGUUUUCCCAGGGAAUUUUGGAACAUCCUGAAGACGAUAUAGUUAGUUAUUUGAAAAAAGGAUGUCCCCAUGAUAUUUCUAUUCAGGGGGAACACAUUGUGCAGGCUUAUAUCUUUGUUGGCCAACGACUAUGACAGAUGCAAAGCAGUUGAAUGGAACUCAAAAGUCUCGUGUUCACUCAAAAGAAGAGGUGCAAGACUUCCUCAGAGUCCCGGUGAGGAGGCUGAUAAGCAGGCUAGUGAAAAUUCACAUGAGACCUCUUCCUGAUCUUAUCAAGAACUGGGAGAAAGUUAGCAGCAAACUAAACGGGACAAAGUUUGCCCACUUUCUUAACGGUUUGAGUUAUGUCAAGUGAUGGAGGACAUGUUAUUGGCAUUUAGAGUUGUGUUCUCAAACAUGCGUUAGAAUUCUUUUUGUACACAUAAGUGUUAGAUGGCAUACAACAUGUGCCGAUGGAAUUAUAGAAAAAUUUCCAAGUUUUCUCCUUUUUGGUAUCAUUAUAUAGUCUUAACUCCCUCCUCCUUUGAUUUCUGUAUAGUAGUAAUGCUAAUUUUUCUUUUAUCUUUUUUGGUUACUGUAUAGUACUAA